rnacentral:rRNA from 1 species
GCCCGCUCAGAAACUACAAAGGAAUUGACGGGGCCCGGCACAAGCGGUGGAGUAUGUGGUUAAUUCGAUGCAACGCGAAGAACCUUACCUGGUCUUGACAUCCCGGAGACCCUUAGGAAACUAGGGGUGCUUCCAUCUGGAAGAAUCUGGAGACAGGUGCUGCAUGGCUGUCGUCAGCUCGUGUCGUGAGAUGUUGGGUUAAGUCCCGCAACGAGCGCAACCCUUGCCUUUAGUUGCCAGCAGUUCGGCUGGGCACUCUAAAGGGACUGCCGGUGUUAAACCGGAGGAAGGUGGGGAUGACGUCAAGUCCUCAUGGCCUUUAUGACCAGGGCUACACACGUACUACAAUGGCCGAUACAAAGGGCAGCGACACUGCGAGGUGAAGCCAAUCCCGUAAAAUCGGUCUCAGUCCGGAUUGGAGUCUGCAACUCGACUCCAUGAAGUUGGAAUCGCUAGUAAUCGUGGAUCAGCAUGCCACGGUGAAUACGUUCCCGGGCCUU